rnacentral:lncRNA from 1 species
AUCCCACUGCCUCCUCUUGUGGGGAAGAGCGAGAAGGACGCUUGAGUUGAAAAGGAGCAAAUUGGGCUCUAGAGAAGCCAUCCCUGUGCCCACAGCUGUGGAUGUGACCAAGCUAGCAAAGGAGCUCUGCCAUUGUGUUCCUGCGUUACCCUGGUGCUACAGGUGGCCUCCACCAACAUGGAUAGGUGCUCAUGCUUAGCUGGCCAGUGGAGCAGGGCUUUACACUCCACCAAUGUGACAUCAAUAAGCUUGCCUGUUGUGUGCUGCAGAAAUGAUCCCACAGUGCUCAGGUCCUAGGAGCAGUGGUUACUCACCCUCGAGGCUUGAGAGUGUAAUGCAGAGGAAAUGAAAGCAAUGACUUGUGCUGAUGGAAAAGCCAACAGCUGGAUGUGCCUCUUUCGUGCAGGCCAGACUGUUCUCAACCAAAGGGGUCUGCCCUCUCUUGCAGCCCAUCAGUGGAGUUCAAGAGAGCAACUGCCUGUAAAGGAGUGGAGUGGAAACAGUUCCCAGAAAUGCACUACAACUGAAAUGGAAAGAAUCAGAAGGACUCAAGGCUGA